UACGAAGGGGGCUAGCGUUGCUCGGAAUCACUGGGCGUAAAGGGUGCGUAGGCGGGUCUUUAAGUCAGGGGUGAAAUCCUGGAGCUCAACUCCAGAACUGCCUUUGAUACUGAAGAUCUUGAGUUCGGGAGAGGUGAGUGGAACUGCGAGUGUAGAGGUGAAAUUCGUAGAUAUUCGCAAGAACACCAGUGGCGAAGGCGGCUCACUGGUCCGGAACUGACGCUGAGGUGCGAAAGCGUGGGGAGCAAACAGG
rnacentral:rRNA from 1 species